rnacentral:misc_RNA from 1 species
AGCCCCUCGGCCCUCUCCUUGUUGGUUCUAUUUAUGCCAAUUUCUCUUGCAAAGUCUUCUCUUUUAUUAACCUCAGGAAUUUUAAUGGCUAUAUCCUCAUUCGGUUCAACUCUGUCGUCGUCUUCUUUUCUUGCUUUGCUUCGUUUUGAUUUUCUCCAUCUCUUCUUUUCUUCUGAAUCGUACACUUCUCAGAUUCGUAGUCGACCCUGUAUCGUCUUUUGACACACAAUUAGGUAUCAACCGUUGCAGCAGCCUCUAGCCAUGGGAAAGCGUAAUGCUCAGCGUAAAAAUAUUGCCAUGUUGGAUACCGAUGACGAUGAUAAUAGUAGUGUGAGUUCGUCAUCGACUAUUAAAUCCGAUCGCAUGUCGGUGCUUGGGACCGAGGAAGUUCAGCUUGAUAAAGAUAGUUUAUUAGAACAAGCUGUGGAUGCUUUAUAUGAGAAGAGGGGUUCGACAAGAGAGAAAGCUUUGGCAUCAAUUAUUGACGCAUUCAAUAGCAAUAUGCAGCAUCAAUUUGUGGAAAAGAAAUUUGCUACUUUGUUACAUCAAUGCCUUGGUUGUAUAAAGAAAGGGUCAAGCAAAGAGAUAGCUCUAGCAUCUCAUGCCAUUGGAUUAUUGGCUUUGACAGUUGGCUGCAGUGAUAAUGCGCAUGAAAUAUUGAAAGACUUGGUCACUCCUAUUUCUCAAGCUCUUAAAUCUGGCUCUGAGCCCACAAAGACAGUAUCGCUACUGGAGUGUUUGGCUGUUAUCACGUUUGUUGGAGGAAAUGAACCAGAAGAAACAGAACGAUCAAUGCAAAUCAUGUGGCAACUGGUCCGCCCUAGACUGGGCUCUAACGUGGUUGCUGUCAGACCUUCUGCUCCUGUAAUAACAGCAGUGGUGUCUGCCUGGGCCUUGGCCUUUCUUCUAACAACCAUGGAUGAACGGACUCUUGAUCCUAAAGAUUGGCAAGAGUCGAUUUCUUAUCUUUCUGGUCUGCUGGAUAAGGAUGACCGAUCAGUACGCAUUGCAGCUGGUGAAGCACUGGCUUUAAUUUUUGAGAUGGGAA